GAUCCUGGCUCAGGAUGAACGCUAGCUACAGGCUUAACACAUGCAAGUCGAGGGGAAACGAUAUUGGAAGCUUGCUUCCGAUAGGCGUCGACCGGCGCACGGGUGAGUAACGCGUAUCCAACCUGCCCAUCACUUGGGGAUAACCUUGCGAAAGUAAGGCUAAUACCCAAUGAUAUCUCUAGAAGACAUCUGAAGGAGAUUAAAGAUUUAUCGGUGAUGGAUGGGGAUGCGU
rnacentral:rRNA from 1 species